GACGAACCGUCCUAACGUUGUUCGGAAUCACUGGGCUUAAAGGGCGCGUAGGCGGGCGAUCAAGUCAGGGGUGAAAUCUUUCGGCUUAACCGGAAAAUAGCUUCUGAUACUGAUUGUCUUGAGGGAGGUAGGGGUUGCUGGAACUUCUGGUGGAGCGGUGAAAUGCGUUGAUAUCAGAAGGAACGCCGGUGGCGAAAGCGAGCAACUGGAUCUCUUCUGACGCUGAGGCGCGAAAGCUAGGGUAGCGAACGGG
rnacentral:rRNA from 1 species